UACGGAGGGGGCAAGCGUUGUUCGGAAUUACUGGGCGUAAAGAGCGUGUAGGCGGCCAGGCAGGUCGGUUGUGAAAACUGGAGGCUCAACCUUCAGAGGUCGACCGAAACCAUCUGGCUAGAGUCCGGGAGAGGAGAGUGGAAUUCCUGGUGUAGCGGUGAAAUGCGCAGAUAUCAGGAAGAACACCCGUGGCGAAGGCGGGUCUCUGGGCCGAUACUGACGCUGAGGAGCGAAAGCGUGGGGAGCGAACAGG
rnacentral:rRNA from 1 species